rnacentral:rRNA from 1 species
UACGGGGGGGGCAAGCGUUGUUCGGAAUUACUGGGCGUAAAGGGAGCGUAGGCGGUGCGGCAAGUCCGGUGUGAAAUCUCCGGGCUUAACUCGGAGCGGUCAUUGGAAACUGCCGUGCUAGAGUGUGGGAGAGGAGAGUGGAAUUCCCGGUGUAGCGGUGAAAUGCGUAGAUAUCGGGAGGAACAGCAGUGGCGAAGGCGGCGACCUGGGCCAAUAUUGACGCUGAGGUGCGAAAGCGUGGGGAGCAAACAGG